CUGAAAAACACCCUUUUGUGCUCAUGGGUAGGAACGGCGUUCGCCUCAACGGGGGACUCCGCCCUCUUACUGGAACCUACUCCAUUUCAGUCUCCCUUGCAUUUCGCUGUGGCCACAAAACGGAAUUCUAGUCCACAGAAUGAGAUGUUACCUGCAUCACUUUCAAGCCCGACCCAUAACAGCCUCCCACACAGCAGCUCCUUGGCUCAUCCAGCCGGCUGAGAUUGAGAGGAACUCAAGUGUUGAAGACGACAGAGCCUCCAUCAGCCUGGAUCCCUGAGUGACGACUGCCCAGAAGAAACCCGCCCUGUGAACUGUGCCCCAAUCUGAUGCUAUUAUGAGAACAUGAAAUAAAUUUAAGUUAUGGUGAGUCAUUA